rnacentral:lncRNA from 1 species
CCAGCGAGCUUAUCUCGGCUCAAAUUCGACUUGAAAUUAAUUUCGAAUCUAAAUUCAAGCUUAAGCUCGGCUUGAAAUUAAUUCGAGCCGAGCUCGAGCCGGCCUAAUUUCGAGUCGAGCGAGCUCGAGCCCUAAACGAGUCGCUUGAAAUUCUCAACGCCCUAUGACCAAUAGUUUAAUUUGUAUAAAAUAUUAUCUACAAUUUGAUACAAAAUGUCUAAUAGUUUAAAAUACAAAAUAAUUAUACGAAAUACGGUAUUAUAAUAGGCCAAUUUGCAUAAAAAAUCCACUAAUUUUGGGUUUUUGCAAAAGUAGGCCACCUUUUUCGUUUUUGCAGAUUCGGUCUGAUUUUUCAGCAAACUGACCAAAAUGCCCUUGUACCUUUUUCUCUCUCCUUUUCUUUUUUGUCGUUCUUUUUUCCUUUCUCUUCCCAGAAAGCGGCGGAGGUGGAAACGCCACCCCCUGCCCCGGCGAUGUCGCCCUCGCCCGCUCCGGCGAUGUCGCCGGCAACGAGCCCGUCUCCCCUGCCUCGACCCGAAUUCUCCGACCUUGCUCAGGC